rnacentral:rRNA from 1 species
UACAGAGGUGGCAAGCGUUGUUCGGAAUUACUGGGCGUAAAGGGCUCGUAGGUGGCCAACUAAGUCAGACGUGAAAUCCCUCAGCUUAACUGGGGAACUGCGUCCGAUACUGGAUGGCUUGAGUUUGGGAGAGGGAUGCGGAAUUCCAGGUGUAGCGGUGAAAUGCGUAGAUAUCUGGAGGAACACCGGUGGCGAAGGCGGCAUCCUGGACCAACACUGACACUGAGGAGCGAAAGCGUGGGGAGCGAACAGG